rnacentral:rRNA from 1 species
UACAGAGGUCCCAAGCGUUGUUCGGAUUCAUUGGGCGUAAAGGGUGCGUAGGCGGCGCGGUAAGUCGAGUGUGAAAUCUCGGAGCUUAACUUCGAAACUGCAUUCGAUACUGCCGUGCUUGAGGACUGGAGAGGAGACUGGAAUUUACGGUGUAGCGGUGAAAUGCGUAGAUAUCGAGAGGAACACCUGCGGCGAAGGCGGGUUGCUGGGCUGAUACUGACGCCGAGGCGCGAAAGCCAGGGGAGCGAACGGG